rnacentral:piRNA from 1 species
UCACUACAGAUCUGCACUCUGAUUAGUAGU